CGACGAUUGGUGCCUCGAAAUACGCGAUUUCCUGUCAGAUGGGACGGUUCCGGUAGACAAAUGGGAAGCACGGCGUCUACGCGCCAAAUCGUCAAAAUAUACUCUGUACCGCGAAUGCUUACUUCGGUACAACGCCUCUGGGGCAGUGCUCAGCUGCCUCCAUAAGGCGGACGCGGCAGAAGUCAUAAAAGAAACACACGAGGGAGCAGGUGGAAACCACUCAGGAGGACGAUCUCUCGCACUCAAAAUCAGAAAGCUCGAUUACUACUGGCCGACGAUGAUCUCGGAUUGUAAAAACUACGUGCUCAAGUACGAGCAAUGCCAACGGCACGCCCCCGUCAUCCACCAGCCGACCGAACUGAUGAAAGCUGGCGCCGCGCCAUACCCUUUCAUGCGUUGGGCCAUGGACAUCGUUGGUCCACUUCCAGCUUCGCGGCAAAAACGCUUCAUCCUCGUCAUGACUGAUUACUUCACCAAGUGGGUCGAAGCUGAAUCCUAUGCAACGAUCAAAGCCAAAGACGUACAGAACUUCGUUUGGAAAUACAUCAUUUGUCGGCACGGCCUACCGUAUGAAAUAAUCACGGACAACGGCUCGCAGUUUAUUUCGCAACAGUUCGACGAUUUCUGCGCUAGCUGGAGAAUUCGUCUGAACAAGUCAACACUGCGUUUCCCCCAAGGCAACGGCCAGGCUGAGGCAACAAACAAAACAAUCCUCGCCGGACUCAAAAAACGGCUAGAAGCCAAAAAAAGAGUCUGGGCAGACGAACUCGACGGCGUCCUAUGGUCAUACAGAACGACCCCGCGCAGCGCCACCGAACAAACACCGUUUUCCUUAGCCUACGGAAUGGAAGCGAUGGCCCCGGCCGAAGUAGGGUGUACGAGCCUCUGACGUUCCAUGAUGAUACAGAAUAAUGAUCUCAACGAUGAAAUGAUGAGGCACAGUCUCGACGACCUGGAAGAAAACCGCAACACCGCGCUAUGUCGAAUCCAGAAUUAUCAACUCGCCGCAGCAAAAUACUACAACAAGAAAGUCCAUAAUCGGCAUUUUAGCGAAGGUGACCUCGUCCUCAGAAAAGUGUUCGAAAACACGGCCGAACUCAACGCCGGGAAGCUAGGCGCGAAUUGGGAAGGUCCCUAUCAGAUAUCGAAGAUCGUCCGACCCGGAGACUACGAACUCCUCACAAUGUCCGGCGUCGAAGUCCCCCGCACAUGGAAUUCGAUGCAUCUGAAGCGAUACUAUUAUUAAAAAAAAAAAAAAAAAAAAAAAAAUCUAUGUAAUGUGAACUACGAGCGGCUUGAUCCCUCCGAUCAGAGGGUACGUAGGCAGCCUCGUUUACGAGGCACAGCUGCAAAUAUUAAUAAAAUCUAUCUUUUUAAAGACAAACGAAACGAAAUACGUUAGCACCCUGGCCCGGUGUCUAAUCGAACGAAAGCCGAGUUCCAUACUCGCACGAUUAAAACGAUUGGUCACGUAAGCCGAGGCCGAACUCGCAAUCACGCUCGUUUUAAUCAUUCGAACAGGAUAAGCCGACCCCGGAGGUCACACCUAAAAAUUGUUUUGGGUCCAACCCAAACACAAUUAUCGACCAAGUUAUUGAGGUCGUCCCCAAUAACUUGCGCGGUACGACCUCGUAGGUCGUACCACCGAGUGUCUUGGAUCCAACCGAAACACAAUUAUCGACCAAGUUAUUGAGGUCGUCCUCAAUAACCUGCGCGGAACGAUCUCGACGGUAUGAGCAAAAGAUAAUAAACGAAAUAGAAGUUCAAUAAAGGAAAGGCCAACAAAAGUGGCAGGAGUCUUACAAAAGCCGACUACGCGGCAAAUAACUUAAAAAAAACGACAUAAAAGCUCAAUACGCGGCCUCGUCUUGAAGAGGAUCCCCGACCCGAGCGUCACCGUCACCAACGACUUGGUCGACGGCCUCGAUGUCACCAGCAACUUCAUUGCCAACACCUUCAACCGAAGGCGCAAAUUCCUCAGCGACGAGAGAUCCCGUGAAGAGAUUUCCGACGUCAUUCCAGCCUUCCUCUAGCUCGGCAAUGUCGAACGCAUUGACCUCGUUCUUAAGCUCUUCCGCAUCAGCUUCAAGCCUCUCAAUCACGUCCUUCGAGUUCAAGACGACCUCCCCAGUUUCGGCCAGCGCCUUCAGCAGGUCAACGCUCCCGACCGCCUGAUUAUAAUCGAGGAACUUGGGAUAAGCCGCGUCCUUGGUAGUGAAAUGCCUCUGAAUCCCAUCGAGACGUUGCUGAAAUUGGUCUGCAGCCUCCUUGAGAGCCUUAGUUACUUGAAUACGAGCAUAUUCGGUGCGCCGCUUCCGAAGCCUUGCUUCCUCGGCUUGUGACUGCUCGGCCAAGUGCUUAAAGUCAACUCGGGACUUUGACAACUCCUCAAGACAACUCUCCCGUUCUGAAAGAGCGUUAUCCCGUUCCUCCUUUAGUUUGGCGACCUCCUCGCGAAGAAGCUGCACCUCGGAGUUGGCACUCUCCAAGCCCUUCGACGCCUGAUCGGCCCUCUUCGUCUCGGCUGCCAAGGCCCUCUGGUGAUCCUUCGAGGCCGUGUUCUGCUCAGAAACAACGCGGAGGCGACGCUCGUACAUAUACGCCAUCCUGUCAAUCGCGCCAAUGGCCUACAGAAAGAAGUAAAAGCUCGGUUAGAGAGCAAAACACUUAAAGUAUUGCGAAAAGUUCUUAAGGCAUUACCGCAACGGUCUUCUUCGCAGCGUCAGUGAACACCGUUCUCUCCCACAUAUCUUGGAGCUCGAAGAAGGGAGAUGGACCGACGUGAAGCUUGCGGAACAGCUCUGCACAGGAUGUGGAAUCAGUCGAGAUAUGAACGUCGCGCCCGUUAUAAUCAUAUCGCCACCUAUAGUCAGGGGCCCAGGCCGUCCUUUGUUUCUUGGUCGGGUCCGAACGCACCGGUUCGGACUCAUCAGCAGUCCGCUUCUUGGUCGGCUCGACCUGAGAGUUGUCAUACAAAAUAACCUCCCUGCCGCCUAAGGGCACAUCGUGAGAAGUCUCGGCAACAGGUAGCUUAGCUGACCUCGCUUCAGCCACCUCUUUCUCCCUCCUCUCCCUCUCUACGUCGGAUCUUGCUUCCGAACGAUCGGCACCAACAACACCAUUACCGCGUCGAUCACGAUGGUCACCUUCAUCUCUCCUAUCCCGACGACCUGAAGAUCGUCGCUCACUCUCCUUAGCCUCGUGUUCGGCUAAGGAAAGACGUUUCCCUAAGGCCAUGGCCUCGUCUUCCUCCCAGCUCAUCCUCUUCGACGGCGUCACCGACGACUUCUUCUUGUAUCUUGAUGAGUAAUCACCCACCGCGUCGACGUUCAUUUUCCCCAUAAUCUUUGAAGGAGCUGGUAUGUAAAAGAAAGGGGAGAGAAGAAUGUAAGAAAAAUCGUACGCACUCAUCAAACGAAUAAAGAAAGAAGGGAAAGAUCAAGGCCGACCUGGAGUCGUGUUAACCUUCCUUGCUUUCGAAGGACCUCCUCUUCGGCUCGUUUUCUUUUGUUUUGAGGAAGGGCGACGAACAGGAUCUUCUUCGUUAGGCCAGGUAUACGGGCACAAAGCUAGAAUCUUCUUAACGUCGUCGCGAAGUUUCUCAGGAUACGGGUCCAAGAUCUUGGGACAACGAACUACAAGAGGAAAAGAAACGAGAAAAGCAAGUUAGAUAGAUAAUCAGUUAACAAGGAAUCGACCUCGGAGGGAUAAGCAAACUACCGGGUGAAAUAGUCCACCCAUGGUAAUUCGUGACGACCACGUCCCCAGCGGAAUCGUUGUCGAUCUUAACAAAGAAGUACCAAUGAAGCCAAUCGUUGGUCUUACUCUUCGCACCAACAACCAACUUUGGGGUCAGCGAAGACUGAGUAUACACCAAGCCCGGCUUGGAUUUCCCGAAAUUCUUCUUCGUCGUCAAUUCCUCGUACAGAGAACAACGAGGUUCGACGCCGCACUGCUCAGCCAAACGAAUCAGGCCGUAAGCAUUCCGAAUAGCAGCCGGAGAAAGUUGCGCAAACGCCAUUUUUCGCCGCGAAGCGUAUUGAAGCAAGAACGCCGGAAUUGGGAAAGUCAGCCCGUAGUCAGUGAUGAGCUUUUCAUAUACACAAAGAUAUCCAGGCGGAGCAGUCCAGGGAUGAUCCCACGGGUUCGAGAUGAGCGUAUUUAGGGAAGCUGGAGCAUCGCAAAAGUGGAGAGAAAGCUCAAUCGUCUCGCUCUUCGACGACGUCGGUUGAAGGUAAUCCGGAAUUCCCGGUGCCGGUCCGCCGGGCUGAACAAACCCAACCGGGGCGGGCACCCGCCUUGUCAAUGGAAUGAUGUCCAAACGAUCGGCGAUAUCAGAUGACGGGCCAACAGAACGAGCCGCUCUAAUGAUAGAAGAUUUGCGUCUGAUGAGCGGUACGUUAUCCUCAUCUAUAGAUGCCGCGUCACUGUCGUCAUCGCGAAGGCACAUGGUUGUAACGGACUUAGGAUUUGCACUCGGUCCGGCUGCUCCCACGCGACUUUCGAGCUCGCGACGUCGUAACUCUGUAACAACUGGAGAGUCUCUGGCGACGGACGAGGCCGACGAUCUGGAAGAGGUUCUAGAUCUACGACCCCGGGAGUUGCUGACAGAUUCGUUGAGAAAACUGUCAACAGACCGGAUAUUCGACUCGUCGGAAGUACGAGAUCGGCGAUGGUCGGAGACGGAUUCGAAAGAACCGACACUUGAAGACAUAAUCAGAAAAUAAGAAAAGACGCGCUGAGAAAAGGAGAGAGAACAGAGAGAAUACCUUCGAAAUCGAUGCGGAGAAAGAAUGAAAGGAAUGAGGAGGAAGCGAAGUAUUUAUAGAGGGAGUCGGUCGAAGAAAAACCGCGUCAUCAGUGCGUCUCGAAGAACGGCGUAAUCAUCACACCUUCGUCGCCCGCAACACGUGAACGACCCGUUUUCCAAUGUCUCGGGAGCGGCAGUAGACGAAUCAGAAGAGAGCGUCCAUCACACGCGCCUCGAAAACACGCGAAGGAAGUCGAAGCGAGAACGGCGAAAUGAUUGCAACCCUAGCCGCGUCAUCACUACGCACUAGGGUUGGGGGGCUACUGUUGAUGGUGGGUUUUGGGCUCGAGCCCAAACCCCUUAACGGGCCUAAACCCUUUACAAACAGGCCCAUGUUUCCCUGUGGCCCAGCAGAAGCCCAAGAAAGGCCCAAUUCGAUUUUCCACCGACCAAAGGGGCAAAAAGGACAUUUCGCACGAACAGUGUACCCUACUUCUGCAUCCUAUAAAUAGCAAAAAAGAAUGUUUGUAAAGGGAUCCCGGGAUAACGGUUUUCACAGAGAAUAUUAUACAACUGUCAGAGCACUUUGCGGUUCGGCUCGUAUUCUAAAUUUUUACCUCGUCUAUUUUUGUAAUUGUCGGCUCGUUCUUUAAAGAAGAGAUUCUUCUUUCACCCUUAAGAUUCCGAAUACAUACUUGUUUGAUUUUGAGGAUCAACAAUUCUGACUUACCUAUCUUCUCGAGGACUGAAACGUAUUUCGAAGGAUAUACUUAUCCUAGUUUGGCCAUUGACAAUAUAUGAGCUAUGGAGAGAAAGAAAUAAGAGGAUUCACUCCAAUGUAGUACAAACUCCAUGCCAUUGAUCGCACCAUCAGGAACAGAGCUUCCUUAUUCCGCUUUUAGAGAUCCGACACUGGCUUCCCAACUACUUCAGAAAUGGUUCAUGUGUAGACAACCGCAUGACGUUACAUCAGUUGAAACGACUACUUCAACCACAUCUUCACUCCAUCUAUCAUUUUAAAAGACACCACCCAACUACUCCCAAAGUUUCGUUGAUGGGUUCAACUUGUACAUUAUUAUACAUUCACUGACCUUUAAAUUAUAAACUCGAGGAAACAGCAAGGAAAGAAAAUUUUGAGGUCGCAAAAAUCAUAGUGAGGGUAAAUCUAUUGAAGGACCUUCCUACUUGUAUUGUCUCAGGCUACAGUGAUGGAAGAGAAUUUGAGAUAGAUGUAUCAUAUCCUUGGUUACCACCUCAGUGUACUGAGUGCAAAGUCUUUGGUCAUGCUACAAGUGAGUGUAUGCAUAAGGCUUCUACCUCAGGAAGGAAAGUGCAAAGGAGGUCUUCUAGCAGAAGGGGUCGUUCGUCUCGUCGGUCUAGGCAAGCACGUAAGGAUGAUAAUUCACGUAUGGGCAGAUCAAGGCCUCCUCCAACAGCAGCUAUUCGAACCUCAACUGUUAUAGCAAGUAUGGAUGGAAAAUCAGCUGAGUCUAAGGGAGAAGAAGUUUCAUGCUCAGUAAGUGAUGCUAUUAUUUCAGAACAUGGUACGGUAUCAGGGAUUGUUCAGCAUGUACAUGAUGGUGUUGCGUUGGAUUUGAGUGUUAUAUCAGAUUUUGGUACGGCAUCAGAUAUUGGUAAGCAUGUGCUUGGUGUGGUUUCGGAUUGUAGUGUGGUAUCAAGUCAAGGUGUGGUAGAUGAUUCGGGUCAUCAUUGUUGGGGAAACAACACACGAUUACGCAGCGGACUAAAGUUUCACCCAAACUAAUGUGAACCUUGUGAGGAAAAUACAAUGGACUUGGCAGCAAUAACUUCAAAAACUUAAAGUAAAUGAGACCACCAAUUUUUACGUGGAAAACCUUCUCGAUGUGAGAAGGAAAAACCACGGGACCGUAGUCCACUCAAAAUCCACUAUAUCAAAUGUAUGAGUGUUACAACCACGUCCUCCCUGUUCCACAAGAACAGAUACAGAGACUAAGGCUCCAAAGAGCAAUCUCCAAACACAAGAAAAACUCAGCAAGAGAGCAAUACAAGAGCUUAGAAAUAAGCAGUUCCAAACGACCCUAGGUUCGCUAAGAUUCCGGUCACCAAAUCAAAUCUCCACCGUACAAAUCCUAGAUAAACAGGUCAGGAACACCUCUGCAAAAUUUCAGCUCAAAACCGAGAAGAACUCACCGUUGGAUCUUCCAAACACUCACGACAUAUGCUGCAGGAAACUCUGGAAAAUCCAGACACGACCAGCCACGUUAAAACUCUGAUUUCUCACAAACCAACCGUUGAAACCAAAUCUCCACCGUUGAAUCUGAAGACCACUGAGUCACGAAGCUACUCUCCAAAAAUCAGCCAAAUCGAAGCUCGUUUGAGUGUCCAAACGUUCAACACCACAAACCUUCACAGUUCUGUUUUUCUCCUCUUUAAAUCCUCUCUCUCUUUUUUUUUUCUUUCGUGUUAUAUAUUUUUUUUCUCUUGCCGACACCAACAUAUAUUUUCCUUUUUCUUCUUUUUAUAUAUAUAAUAUAUAUAUAUAUAUUUUUCUUCUUCCUCCACUAGAAGGAAUAAACAACAAACUCCCCCUCCGACUAGGUGGAGGAAACAGCCAUUCCGGCUAUCUCUCGGCAUACUUCAAGCUUCCCCCUCGGUAAUGACUUUGUCAUCAUAUCAGCUCCAUUAUCAUCCGUAUGAACUUUUGCAAGUUCCACUUCCUUAGAAGCAACCACAUCACGUAUCCAAUGAUACCUUCUAUUAAUGUGUUUCGAACGCGAAUGAAAUGUAGAGUUCUUUCCAAGAUGAAUUGCGCCUUCGUUAUCACAAAGCAAUACAUAAUUAUCUUGCUUGAAACCGAGAUCCUCAAGAUAAUUUUUCAUCCACAACAACUCCUUACAAGCUUCUGUUGCGGCUAUAAACUCAGCUUCAGUGGUAGAAAGUGCAACACACUUCUGUAACCUUGAUUGCCAUGCCACAGCUCCCCCAGCAAAUGUUACCAAGUAACCCGAAGUAGACUUACUGGAAUCAGGAUCCCCAGACAAAUCAGAAUCAGUAUAACUGACAAGUAGUGGCUUAUCACCUCCAAAAGUAAGCUUCAAAUCAGAAGUCCCUCGAAGAUAUCUCAAAAUCCACUUCACAGCAUUCCAGUGUUCUCUUCCAGGAUUGGAGAGAAAACGACUAACUGUACCAACAGCGUGAGCUAUAUCAGGUCUUGUACAGACCAUAGCAUACAUCAAGCUACCAACUGCAGAAGCAUAUGGAACCCGUGCCAUAUCUUCUUUCUCCAACUUUGUUUUCGGACUAUGUUGACUGUUCAAUCUAAAGUGUGUAGCAAGAGGAGUGCUAACAACUUUAGACUUGUCCAUGUGAAACCUUUGAAGUACCUUUUCAAUGUACCUCUCCUGAGAUAAGUAAAUCAACUUCUCACCUCUAUCUCGAACAAUUCUCAUACCAAGAAUCUGUUUCGCUGGACCCAAAUCUUUCAUGGCAAAGGACUUUCCAAGCUGGUUCUUCAACUCUUGAAUUCUGCUCAAGUUCUUGCCAACAAUCAACAUGUCAUCAACAUACAAUAGCAAGACGAUAAAAUCAUCUUCACCAAACAUUUGCACAAACACACAAUGAUCAGAAGUAGUCUUCUUAUAACCAUGCUCCCCCAUAACUGACUCAAACUUCUUAUACCACUGCCUUGGUGCCUGUUUCAAACCAUAAAGACUUUUCUUCAAGCGACAAACUAAAUCCUCUUUGCCCUUUUUCACAAAGCCUUCCGGUUGUACCAUGUAAAUCUCUUCCUCCAAAUCUCCAUGAAGAAAAGCAGUCUUUACAUCCAUUUGCUCAACCUCUAGAUCAAGGCUCGCUGCCAAUCCAAGUACAACCCGAAUGGAUGACAUCUUCACAACAGGAGAAAAGAUUUCAUCAUAAUCAAUCCCCUUCUUUUGGCCGUACCCUUUCACAACCAAUCUAGCCUUGUAUCGAGGUGACAAACUGGUCUCAUCAUGCUUAAUCUUGUACACCCACUUAUUAAGCAAUGCCUUCUUGCCCUUAGGCAAUUUCACCAACUCAAAAGUAUGGUUCUCUGCAAAAGAAUCCAUCUCGUCACCCAUGGCAUCAUGCCAUUCAUCUUUGUGUUCAUCCUCUAAAGCUUCAUCAAAGCUCUCAGGUUCUCCCCCAUCAGUAAGUAGCACAUACUCACUAGGAUCAUACCUUGUCGAUGGUUUUAGACCUCUCUCAGAUCUUCUAACAAUAGGAGGGUUCUCGGUAGUUGGUGUCUCACCAUGAUCGUCAUCAUGAUCACCAAUACCAUCAUCAUGUGCGGGAGCAUCUGCACCAGGUGUAUCAACUUGAACCUCAUCCUCGACCUGACCGUGAACCGAUGUAGAAGGAGCAACCACUGAAUCAAUCAAACUCUCAUAACUCUGAGUUGGAUUUCCGGACUUGUCAAUGUCCUUAAUCGUUUGAUCUUCCAUGAACACAACAUCUCUGCUCCUAAUGAGCUUCUUCUCAACGGGAUCAUAAAAUCUGUAUCCAAACUCAUCCUGACCAUAACCAAUGAACACACAUUGUCGCGACUUCAUCUCAAGCUUCGACCUUUCAUCCUUGGGAAUAUGAACAAAUGCCUUACACCCAAAGACCCUCAAAUGACCAUAAGAAACGUUCUUACCGGUCCACACCCUCUCUGGAAUAUCACCCUCCAAUGGAGCACUCGGUGAUAGAUUCAGCACAUGAACAACCGUGCUUAAAGCCUCACCCCAGAAAGUCAUCGCCAAGCCUGAUUGUGAAAUCAAACAUCUCAUUCUCUCGACAAUAGUUCUGUUCAUCCUCUUAGCCAACCCAUUCAACUGUGGAGUCUUAGGCGGCGUGAACUGAUGUCUAAUACCAUGUUCCUUGCAAUAAACAUCAAAUGGUCCAGAAUACUCACCACCAUUAUCACUACGGAUACACUUCAACUUCUUUCCCGUCUGUCUCUCAACCAAUGCCACAAACUGCUUGAAGUAUCCUAGAACCUGAUCUUUCGUCGUCAUAGUAAAAACCCACAACUUCCUUGAAUGAUCAUCAAUGAAAGUGACAAAAUAUGAUGCACCACCAAGAGAUUUUGUUUUCAUUGGACCAGACACAUCUGAAUGAACCAGAUCAAGUACCUCAGGUUUUCUAGAAGGUGCAGAAGACUUGAAAGAGACCCUGUGUUGUUUUCCCCGCAAACAAUGCGCACAUUUCUCCAAGUGCAAACCGGAGAUACCUGGAAUAGCUUCCUUCUUAGACAACACAGACAUUCCCUUCUCACUCAUGUGACCGAGUCUCUUAUGCCACAAUUCCAUGGCAUGAUCAUUCUCCAAAGCAUUAACACUGUCUUUGGAGACCUUAGCCUGCAUCAAAUAGAAAGAUGAAAGCUUCUCCCCUCGAGCCACAACCAAAGAACCACGUGAAAGCUUCCAUUUACCACCGCCGUGUAAACUGUAGAAACCUUCAUCAUCAAGUCUUCCCGUAGAUAUCAAAUUCAUCCGAAGAUCUGGGACAUGCUUAACAUCUUUAAGCAUAAGUCUAGUCCCAAUACUAGUCUCCAAGCAAAUAUCACCAAUGCCAACAACCUGAGCCAAACCAUCAUUCCCCAUCUUCACAGAACCAUAACUACCCGGAGUAUAGGUAGAGAACAAAUCCCGCUGUGAUGUAGCAUGAGUAGUAGCUCCACUAUCAACCACCCAACUGGUGUCUUGACAUACAUUAAUGGCAUCAUCUUCAAGAAGAAUGAGAAAUUGAUCGUCAGUGAUUGUCACACGAUCUACUUCUUCUUGCUUCCCUUGCUGCUUGUCUUUCUUCAACUUCCAGCAGUCUUUCUUUAUGUGCCCUUUCUUAUGACAAUAAUGGCACUCUAAAUUCGCAAAUUUGUUAGAUUUGCUCCUGCUCCUGUUCUUAUCUUUCUUGGGAUCUCUAGAUGAACUCCUCCCCCUUGACUCAGUGACUAACACAUCUGAUCUUGAGGAACUAGCAUUUGACUGCCUUCUAGUUUCCUCAUUCAAGACACUGUUUUUCACCAUAUCCAUCGAAAUAACACCAUUCGAAGUAGAGUUACAAAGAGACAUCCUAAACACCUCCCAUGAAUCUGGUAGUGUACCAAGAAGCCACAGACCGUGAAUCUCAUCCUCAAACUUGAUUCCCAUAUCAGACAGUUUAUUGAGCAGCCCCUGAAAUACAUUUAAGUGAUCAGUCAUUGGAGUUCCCUCCUGAUACCUCAACUCAAUCAACUUCUUGAUCAUGUACAUCUUAUCAUUCCCGGUCUUCCGAGCGUACAAUUGCUCUAGCUUCAACCACAAAGAACGAGCAUCAAUCUCAUUUUCAAUAUGAUUCAACACAUUAUCAUCUACCCAUUGCCUUAUCAAACCACACACUUGGCGAUGUUGCAACUUCCACUGAUCAUCAGUCUUCUCUACAGGUUUCUUCUCCUCAAAGACUGGAACAUGAAAUUCUUUCACAAAAAGCAAAUCUUCCAUCUUGCCUUUCCAUAGAUGAUAAUUAGAACCAUUCAAGCUUAUCAUUCUGCCCAUAUUUUCCAUCCUGCCCAUAUUUUCCAUCGCUCACAGAAGCAAAUUAAUAACCCAAAGUUAUCAAACCCAAAGCUCAAAACCAAGAAGCUCUGAUACCACUCUGUUGGGGAAACAACACACGAUUACGCAGCGGACUAAAGUUUCACCCGAACUAAUGUGAACCUUGUGAGAAAAAUACAAUGGACUUGGCAGCAAUAACUUCAAAAACUUAAAGUAAAUGAGACCACCAAUUUUUACGUGGAAAACCUUCUCGAUGUGAGAAGGAAAAACCACGGGACCGUAGUCCACUCAAAAUCCACUAUAUCAAAUGUAUGAGUGUUACAACCACGUCCUCCCUGUUCCACAAGAACAGAUACAGAGACUAAGGCUCCAAAGAGCAAUCUCCAAACACAAGAAAAACUCAGCAAGAGAGCAAUACAAGAGCUUAGAAAUAAGCAGUUCCAAACGACCCUAGGUUCGCUAAGAUUCCGGUCACCAAAUCAAAUCUCCACCGUACAAAUCCUAGAUAAACAGGUCAGGAACACCUCUGCAAAAUUUCAGCUCAAAACCGAGAAGAACUCACCGUUGGAUCUUCCAAACACUCACGACAUAUGCUGCAGGAAACUCUGGAAAAUCCAGACACGACCAGCCACGUUAAAACUCGGAUUUCUCACAAACCAACCGUUGAAACCAAAUCUCCACCGUUGAAUCUGAAGACCACUGAGUCACGAAGAUACUCUCCAAAAAUCAGCCAAAUCGAAGCUCGUUUGAGUGUCCAAACGUUCAACACCACAAACCUUCACAGUUCUGUUUUUCUCCUCUUUAAAUCCUCUCUCUUUUUUUUUUCUUUCGUGUUAUAUAUUUUUUUUCUCUUGCCGACACCAACAUAUAUUUUCCUUUUUCUUCUUUUUAUAUAUAUAAUAUAUAUAUAUAUUUUUCUUCUUCCUCCACUAGAAGGAAUAAACAACAAUCAUGAGCCUUUAGCUCCUGCAGAGGCCACACCUGAGAUUGAAUGCAGUAAGGCUGAUGAGGAGCCUGAUCUACCUUUCUUCCUGGUGUCUAACCGGAAGAGUGGCCGUAAGGUCACAAACCAACAUUAAUAUCAUUAUAAGAGGUCUGAAUAGUAAUGAACGCCACUCCAUGACCAAAGAUUGGAUUAAUAUCCAUAGGCCACUUUUUGGUGCUUUCUGUGAAACUCACUUACAAGGAAUAAGAGCUGGGAGAAUAUCUAGAGCUUAAUUUCAGUCUUAAUUUACCAAGCUUCGGCUCAUGCGGUAACUUGUGGUAUUUUUAUUCAGGCUGAGAAUGUGAAUCUCACUGUGACUUUUGUGUAUGGUUUCAACCAAGUCGAAGAUAGGCACUCUCUGUGGGAUGAGUUACAUCUUUUGAAUGUUUCUACUCCUUUGUCUAGGCAUCCAUGGGCUGUCGCUGGAGAUUUCAACCAGAUCCUACGGUCAACUCAUCAUUCAAACCACCAAUGGAUAAAUGUUGACACUUCUGGUAUUGAUGAUUUCAAUCUGGCAUUGCAAGAUGCUGAGUUAUUUGAGGCGCAGGCAAAGGGACUGCCGUUAACUUGGUGGAAUAACCAAGAUGAUAACCCUAUCUCCAAGAAAAUUGAUCAUGCUCUCAUAAAUCAAAAAUGGUCUGACUUGUUUCCGGAUGCAUACGCAGACUUUCUAGAGCCGCAACAGUCUGAUCAUGCGGUAUGCCUAUUUCGGGUUCCUUCCCUUCAGCGACAUUUAUGCAAACCAUUCAAGUUUUUCCAUCAUGUGAUCGACCAUCUGGAGUAUGAAGACUCUGUCAAGGAAGCAUGGAACUGUGAGGUAAUAAAUGGAUCUUUUCAAUUUAAGCUUGCGAGAUCGUUAAAACUUAUGAAAAAAGUUCUCAGACGUAUCAACAAGCGAUAUUACAGUGGUAUCUCAGAGAGAGUAACAGCACAAGCUAAAAAAGUUUUAGAGCUGCAACGGAUUCUCUUGACAAAUCCUGAUUCUGCUAGCAUCAAGCACGAGCAAAAUGGAAAACCCUUCAAAAAGCAGAGGAAAAGUAUUAUUGUAACAUCCCAAAAUUUAAUAUUAGACAAAGCCCAAUAAGCCCAAUAUCUAUAUCACUUAAACGACAAAGGUCAUGGUCGUUUGUGUGUAUAGAGUACAUGUAUGUAUCUUCUUCUCUACGAGCCGUCACAAGAGAAACCUAAACCUAAACCCUAAGGGCAGCAGCUGUAACAUAGUAAAAGCUUUGUGGGUCGUUAGUGUCGAGUUCGUGAGCCAUCGUUGUUGAGUUUGUGAGACGACGUUUAGUUUGACGUUAUGGUGAUCGACCAUCUUUAAAGGAGGAGAUGUGUUGGGCAGAGCAACAGGAGAGGAGAAGAAACCUGAGUCCUAGAGCCACCUUAGUUGUGUUGUGGCUGUGUAUGUAUCAUUGGAAAAGGGAGAGAAAGGGAGGAGAAGAGAGAGAGCCGUGAGGUGAGGAUAGAGAACGAGAUGAAGCGGAGAUGGUGGAAAUCAUUGGCAAGUCUGAAUAGUCAUGUCGUAGCUGUGGCAAGCCUCGACAGUGGUGGAGGAACAAAGCCAGAGUGAACAGAGGUGAAGGAGAGAAGAAUAAGAAAGAGAAAGAAGGAAAUAAAAGUAGUGUGGAGGAGGCCACUUUGGAGGCUCGUCGGUGCAUGAUAUGAUAUUUUUUUUGCAAAUUAAGAGUAUGUAUGAGAUGCUUAGAAACCCAAGAUUACAUAACAACUUACGUAUCUUGAAUCGGGGUUACAUUCAAGAAGUUAUGGCUGUUGCUUUCUGGACAAGUAACUGCAGAAUCUGUCAAACCCAGAAACCCUAGAAAACAGAUCUGAGGUGGCUUCUUUAGGACAACGUUUGGAGGCCCAAACCUACUUCGAUCGAGCUGAAAUUUGGUGGAGUUAUUCAUGGUACUACAGCCUAUAGAUUCAACGGUGGGAUUCCGUUUUGAACGGUUAGUUAUUGUUUUGUUCUUAUGUUUCCGAGACAGUUCAUUAUAGAGUAAAUGGUGACAAGUUCUAUUGUUUGAUUGGUCAAACGAGGUGGGAUUGAGAUGAAGCUUUACUGGAAAAUUUAUGAGGCAUGAAACUAUGACUUGUUUGAUGGAGAACCAAACUUGAAAUCCGUAUUCGAACCGUAGCGUCUCGAAUAAGUUAAAGCUAAGGUGAGGGUGGUAAUCGUGAAAACACAAUGAUUAUUUUCUAAGCAUGUUCUUCAUGAAUUGCUUGUAUAGGCUUGGAAACUAUGUGAUUGGAUAUAUGUCUAUUGUUUGCUAUUGCGUGCUAUGAUAUGAUGAUAAGAUUCAUGAUGAUUGAUGUGUGAUAAUAUGAAAUGAGUUGAUGUGAUGGGGGCACGAACCUGAGAUUGGUUUCGUGUCUCGUGAUGGGCGAACCUGAGAUUGGUUUCGUACCUAGUAAUUGGACGAACCUGGGAUUGGUUUCGUGCCUGGCGAUUGGACGAACCUGGGAUUGGUUUCGUGUCAUGCUAAGCCGAUGGGAUUUCGGUUUAGCUUUAUUGUUGUUGAUUUUGUAUAUGAUUGAGUAAUGUAAGAAUAUGUAUGUUUGUUAGAUGUAUGUUUGAGAAUGUGGAGUCUGAUUUUAUGCUAUGCAAUGAUUGUUGAGUGUGAUUAGAAUUUUGCCAUUGUGUUCACCCCUUUUAUUUUUUUCCCUUAGAUUAAUAAGCUUUAUGAGACGUUGAAGAAAUUUUGAAUCUUUAAAGAAUUAUGAAUAACACAUUGUCUUGGCCUAUAAGGCAUGACGGGUGUUACAAUUAUCGGCAAAGGUCAAGAGCCCAAUGGAUGGAUUUAGGGGACAAAAAUACUGCUUUCUUCCACAAGACGGUUGCACAAAGAGUGACUCGAAAUCACAUCCACUUUCUUAGAGAUAGUAAUGAUACUAUGAUUGGCACAACCAAAGGCAUUAAGUCUCAUUCAGCUGAGUAUUUCCAAGGUAUAUUUGGUUGUACUGAUUUGCCAAUUUCUCCAUGUUCGGACUCUCAGUUACAAAAAGUGCUACUCUUUAGAUGCAAUGAUAGUCAGAGGCAUGAUGACGCAGUCGGAAUCUCUAGGAAUAGCAAACACUAUGCCUAGAUAGAAAUCAAGUUCGCUAGCGACGAACUUAAUGAUAAAACUCUGGAAUCCACCAGAAAAGGGUCUGGAAUCCACCAGGAAAAGAGAAAGCUCUCUGUUCUUAUUAAUUAGAAUCAAAAAAAACAUCCCCGGUAAAUAACCUAGGAUCUCUAUAUAUAUAGAGAAUAAAACCAAAACAUAAAAUAGAAAACCCUUAAACAAAAUAGAAAACGUGAAAUAAGUAAAUAUUAAAAGAAAAGGUAAAUUCCCUAAAUUUCUCCUACAUCAGUCUCCUCCACUUCUGAAGAACUUGUCCUCAAGUUCUCUUCUGAUUAAAGAAUCUCAUUUGCUUUGUCCCGCAUAGGAGGGAAGUCAUGUAAAUAACCGUCUGAAUCUAACUCUCUCAAAUUAGUUAGAAUCUCUGGAAGGUCCUCUGGGAUUGUUGUCUUCUUCUUAACAACACUUAGCAACCCAUUAGUUUUUUUGAAAUUCGCAUCUAGCCUUUUCUUGUAAUGAAUCAUAACUAAGACGCUUGAUUUCUUUCUCCUUGGAUUCUCUUCCUUGUAGUGCUUCUCAUGUUCAUGUGCAAUUAACGUCUUGAGAUUCCUUUGUACCACUAGCUUCUCUUCUGGAGUAAUUAACAUCUCAUCCACUUCUGAAAUUCCAUAGAAUAAUAGAAUAUCAGUCUUCACAUGAUUGCUUUGUUUAUUCCCUUGAUCAACUAUCUCGUCCUUCACGAGUUCUUCUUUAGCAUCCAUGUGAGAAUCAUAAUUAUUAUGUAGAUUCUCUUGACCAAUCUCUUCCUUCAUGGAUUCUUCAUUAGAACUUGUAUUUUCAUCAAUCACAACACGAUUGUUUUCCACUCUUGGGAUUCCUCUUCCCUGGUUUCUCUGCUGAUUUUCGUUAAGCCUAGCCGGUUCUCUUUCUCUGCCUCUUUGCUGAUUUUCGUUAAACACCACUUGUUCUCCUUCUCUGCCUUGUUGUCGAUUGUGUCUGCCUUGUUGAUUCUGAUUUCGUCCCAUUCCUUCUCCUCCUCCUUGUCCUGCGUUAGCAAUCUGAUUGGUUAAUGCUGCAAUCUGAUUAGUUAACGCUGCCACCAGAUUUGCCAGGUUCGUGGUUGAGUCUUUCAAACUUGCUGUGAAACCCUCCAUGUCGGCCUUGGUUACUGGUUGAUCACCCAUAGCUGUUCAAGCUUCGAAAAGAGUAGGAGAUUGCCUGCUCUGAUACCACUUGACGCAGUCGGAAUCUCUAGGAAUAGCAAACACUAUGCCUAGAUAGAAAUCAAGUUCGCUAGCGACGAACUUAAUGAUAAAACUCUGGAAUCCACCAGAAAAGGGUCUGGAAUCCACCAGGAAAAGAGAAAGCUCUCUGUUCUUAUUAAUUAGAAUCAAAAAAAACAUCCCCGGUAAAUAACCUAGGAUCUCUAUAUAUAUAGAGAAUAAAACCAAAACAUAAAAUAGAAAACCCUUAAACAAAAUAGAAAACGUGAAAUAAGUAAAUAUUAAAAGAAAAGGUAAAUUCCCUAAAUUUCUCCUACAUCACAUGAUCUGCAAAAAGAGGUUUUAGAUGAAGAGAUCGAACAUACGGUUUUUGCAAUGCCAUUGAACAAAAGCCCAGGUCCAGACGGUUAUUCUGUGGAAUUUUUAAGAGCUUCUUGGGGAUACAGUUGGAAGAGAUGUGGUGGCGGCAGUGAAGGGAUUUUUCAGGAAUGGUAGGCUACUGAAAGACCUGAAUAACACUGCUAUCACCCUUAUACCUAAGAAACUAGAAGCUUGCAAGUUAGGAGAUUACCGUCCUAUUAGCUGUUGUAACAUCAUAUACAAAGUGAUCUCCAAAAUCAUAGCGAGCAGGCUAAAACCAAUUCUUCAAGAAUGCAUUAGCCCAAAUCAAGCGGCUUUUCUAAAAGGACGUAGUCUUGGGGAAAAUGUGUUACUAUCUUCGGAGCUGAUCAGAAACUACUACAAGUCCUCUUGUCCUAAAAGUUGUAUGCUCAAAGUGGAUAUAAGAAAGGCUUUUGACACAGUAUGUUGGAAUUUCGUCCUUAAAUUAUUGGAGGCGCAAGAUUUUCCACCUCUUUUGAGGGCUUGGAUCAAGGAAUGCAUCACAUCACCAAGGUUCUCUAUAUCAAUAAAUGGAGAAUUGGCUGGUUUCUUUCCAGGAAAGAAAGGACUUAGGCAGGGUGAUUCAAUCUCACCAUAUUUAUUUAUUAUGGUGAUGGAAGUGUUGUCUAAGUUGUUAGAGACUGCGGCAAAUCAGGGCAGUUUGAGUCUCCACCCGCAAUGCUCAAGCCCAAGGAUCACUCACCUAUUAUUCGCCGAUGACCUCCUAAUCUUCUCGGAUGGAUCUAGACACUCUCUCACGGGUAUAAAAGAGGUAAUGUCAAACUUCAAACGCAUGUGUGGUCUUGAUAUGAAUGCCGCUAAACCAAAAAUAUUUUUCGGUGGUUAUGGGGAUAUUGAAGCUGCGGAGUUGAGUGGUUUUUCUGGGUUUAAAAUAGGAUCUUUUCCGACGAGAUAUCUGGGGCUGCCGCUAAAUCCCCAAAGAAUCUCUCUUGCUACGCUCCAACCAUUUAUCGAGAGAAUCACAAGCAAGCUACACUCGUGGACUAUAAAGUUCUUAUCUUUUGCAGGAAAGAUAAGGCUAAUAUCAUCAGUAAUUUAUGGCAUGGUGAACUUUUGGAGCUCGGUUUUUGUUCUGCCGAAAGCAUUCUAUGAAAAGAUUGACUCUCUUUACGCGGCUUUCCUGUGGAAGAACAAGACCACUUCAGCAAUGGACUGAUGUGUGCAAAUCUAAAGCGGAAGGAGGUCUUGGUAUUCGACUCCUAACUGACAUUGAAAUGGUCUUCAGAUUGAGGCAGAUUUGGAAUCUUUUCGCUAAUGCCGGUUCAUUGUGGGUAUCAUGGGUGCAAACUAAUAUCUUUGGGAGAAAGAGUUAUUGGUUAACAGAAGACGCAAACUGGUUUUCUCGACAAAUAAGGAGUAUGCUUCAAUUAAAGCAGGUUCUGGUGAUGAGGUUUUUGCGUUGUGAAAUAGGUGAUGGAGAGACUGCUUUUUUCUGGCAUGAUUCAUGGUCAGAAUUGGGACCGCUAAUUACUUAUCUCGGGGCAAGAGGUACGAGACAGCUUGAGAUUCCUCUAGAUGGCCGUGUUAUCCAAGCGACCAGGAAUGGGGACUGGAGACUGCCUGCAGCUAGGUCUAAUGAGGCUCAAUCUCUCCAAAUUCAUCUAACUACCUUAACACCACCAAAUGUGUCAAUGGGACCAGACUCUUAUCUAUGGCGCAAUGCGACAGGUAUGUUUGUAAAAGCCUUCUCCUCUAAAGCUACGUGGGAGCAUCUUAGAAUACAAUCUCCAACCGUGCUAUGGCACAAAGUGGUAUGGUUUAACGAAGCAAUUCUUCGGUGCUCUUUCAUUACAUGGCUUGUAAUGUUAUCAAGACUACCCACAAAAGAUAGGCUUCGUCGAUGGGGAAUUAAUGUUCCUGAUCAAUGUGUUUUGUGCUCUAGUGGCAUUGAGACACAUGAACACCUAUUUUUUGAUUGUCCGUUUGCAUCUGAUAUUUGGAGCCAUUUUGCGAGCAGAAUUUGGUCUAAUCCUCCAUUGAGUCUUCAAGCUGUGGUAUCUUGGAUCUCUCAGCCUCACCUUCAGUCUUCUACCCCGCAAGCAGUUCUCAAUAUGCUCAUCAAGCUUCUUCUGCAAAUCAUCAUCUAUAUCCUUUGGAAGGAGCGUAAUGCCAGAAUCUUAUCCACCACAUCCACAUCAGCCACCAGCCUCCGUCUUUCAGUCGACCGGAUGGUUAGAGAUCGUCUUCUUUCUUUCCCAGCGACGUCUUCUGCUUUUUUCUCUCUUCUCGGGUUCUACUUUCUUUGUAUGGGCUCUUUUUCUUAAAUUUUCUCCAGUUCUUUUUGUUCUUGUAAUAAGUUGCAAUCAACAUGUAUGUAAUCGAAAAUGGUAUAAAUCUUAACAUUUACACCCAAAAAAAAAAAAAAAAAAAAUUAUAAACUCAAGUUAGAAAAGUUUAGCGAUAACGAAUAUGGUUAGCAAAAAAUCGUAUUCAAGAUAGUGAAUCAUUUUAGUUUCCACAGUCUCUUUGAUCGGAUAUUUUCAUAUAGUUGUGUUCGUCCUUGUUCAAGUAAUUCAGACUUGCUAUUUGAUAGUUCUCAAGAAUAGCAAGCCUAAGACCAUCACAUAAAGAGUCUGAAAUAACAGAGUGGCGUCACAUUAUAAGUUUUAUAUACUUUUAAAUAUUUUUUAUUUAUCAAAAAUAUAAAUUAAAAAAAGAGUUGAAUUGAAUGGUCGCAUAUUUGUCUUACAAAAUAUGGGUGGGGUACUCGGGUUCAUCAUAAAUCGUCUAAGCAUUUAAUCACAAAUCUACAAAGUACGAUGAAAUUAAUUUGUUCAACCAUAAAAUAGCUGAUUUUGGCAAUGAAACACUCGAUUAUAGGAGUACAGUUUGGGUUUUUUGUUGUGUGUGUGUGUGAAAUUGUACACAUUUUCCGCAAACUGAUCCCACAAGGCCACAAGAGACACGAUUACACGAACAUCUCCGAAAUUAAUAACACAAGAGCAACCAUCCAUCCAAUAUACCUCCUCCGUAUUUGCAUAGUUGAUGUUUUUUUUUUUUGGUGGGCUGCAUAGUUGAUGUUUAGAACUUAUUUAAUUUAUUUUUCUAAAUAAAAAAUCAUUUAUAGUCUAUUUAAACACAAUUCAAUCAGUAAUAAUAUACUUUGCAUUAUACAAAUAGUUAAAAAUAACAAUAAAAAAAUUCUUAAUUUUGCAUUAAAAAUUGAUAACAUCAACUAAUUUGAAACGAAAAAAAUUUAUCCUAAAAUAUCAACUAUAAAGAUACAACCAUAAAUAAUAUUACCUAAAUAAUAUUACUUCCACUUAAUUUAUUGGAUAUUAGACAUUUUUCAACCGUCGGAUUAGCCUCUAGCAAAAUUUUAAACAUUAGUGUUUUCUAAAUUCGAUUAGUAAUUUUGUUUAAUGUAUAUACAGUAUAAGAUUUUUUUAAAAAAAUCUUUGUAAUUGUGAUGGUAUUAAAUGUAGACAUAUUAUAUACUUCCACAAGUCAUAUAAAAAAUGUAAAAUACAGAAUCUUGUACGCAACACACGGGAGAUAGUAUGAGACUCGAGAGAGAAAGAGUCAUCAUCAUUCAAUAUUCAUCUCCUUCAAAACAAACAUUUAAAAAAAUUUUGGCUUUAAUGGAACCCACGUUCUCCUCUCUGUCUCUCUCUCUUUACAAUUUCCAAGAAAACACUAAAAUAAAAACCACAACAACAACAACAAAGUUUUGUAGUAAUAGUAUUACUCUUUCACUCGUUUUUACCUCUCUUAGCUGUUUCUACUUAUUUUCUCUUUCUCUCUCUCUUCAUCUUUUGUUGUUUUACGUAAAGUCAAACCCAUCUCUCUCUCUCUGCCAUUUUCUGAACAUGAAUAUCUUCUUCUCAUGCUCUGAUUCGUUUCUCAUUGCCUAGACAAGAAGAACAAUCUGUCUAUACUGGUUUGAAGUUUUAGCUUUAAGCUUUGUUGCUACAAACAAUGGAGUUCAAGAGAGACAAUACUGUCAGGUUCUAGAUUUUUCAUCUUUUUUAGAACAUUCAUUUUUGGGUUCUUUCAAUGAUGGACAAAAAAAGUUAGCAAUCCCAAUAAAGUUUUGAUCUUUAUACUUUGCAUUUGGUACAUUAUUUUGGAAUGAUUCGUUCUUGAUCUUAUUUUUUGAACCCAAACUCUGUUUUGUUUUUUUGGUUAAUGGGUGUGACAGAUUCUAUGGAGACGAGAAACAAACCAUAGAAGUAGGAGAGAAGCGUGUACCAUUGUUCAAAUCAACAACGGCUCCAUUUAUGAAACAAGAAGUCCCAAAGAAGAGCAAAACACGUUUGAAAAUCCCAAGAUUUGGUAGAUUCAAAGUGUUUCCAGAGAAUUUCGAGAUCGAAAGAGAUAAGAUUCUAGAUCCUGGUGGUGAUGCAGUGCUUCAAUGGAACAGAGUUUUUCUCUUCUGGUGUCUCGUUGCACUUUACGUCGACCCUUUGUUCUUCUUUCUUUCUUCAGUCAAACGCAUUGGACGAUCUUCUUGUAUGACUACAGAUUUGAAGCUUGGAAUUGUCAUUACUUUCUUCAGAACAUUAGCAGAUUUGUUCUAUGUUUUGCACAUUGUGAUCAAAUUCAGAACAGCUUAUGUUUCUCGUACUUCUAGAGUGUUUGGUCGUGGAGAACUUGUGAAAGAUCCUAAGUUGAUUGCUAGAAGAUACUUAAGAUCAGAUUUCAUCGUUGAUCUCAUCGCUUGUUUGCCUCUUCCUCAGGUAUAUUUAUUCAUAACCUGUGUGGUCACUUGGAUUCUUGAACUUCGGCCCCAGUGCUUUAUCCGUGGUGGACCCACGGAUUAGUCUGGGACUUGGACACCGGGGCCACGUGAUUCAUAUUUUCUUAACAUUGUUAUUAGAGUUUGAUUGUGUCUCUAUUGUUGCAGAUUGUUAGUUGGUUUAUCUUGCCAUCAAUCAGAAGCUCUCACUCAGAUCAUACCACAAAUGCUCUUGUGCUCAUUGUUCUUGUUCAAUACAUUCCUCGCCUUUAUCUGAUUUUCCCUCUUAGCGCUGAGAUUAUUAAAGCAACCGGAGUUGUUACAACCACCGCUUGGGCCGGUGCUGCUUACAAUCUCCUCCAGUAUAUGCUUGCUAGCCAUGUGAGUUUGAGUUGACUAAUGAGAUACUCACUAACCAACUCACGAGUUACAUUAAGUCAUAGGCUAGUGAUAUAGUAGAUGUUAAGCUUUUUCAAGUAGAACCAUUGUGUUCAUAUACUUUCUAUCUUUGUUUAUGUAUGAGACUAGAAUUACCUCGAGGCUCGAUAUAUGUUAUGUUUUGACAUUUUUGUUGUGUUGAUUCUAGGUGAGAUGUGGUAUCUAUUAAUGUCCUCAAUAUCUUUGCUUGUUUAUGAGACUAGAUUCAGCUUGAGGCUCGGUUUAAUGUUAUGUUAUUAUCAUGUUUUGGCAUUUUUUGUUGUGUAGAUACUAAGUUUGUUGUGGUAUACAUUGUGUCCUUAAUAUCUCGGAGGCUUGAUUAUUAUGUUAUGCUCUUAUGUUUUCAUAUUUUGUUGUGUAGAUUCUAGGUUCUGCGUGGUAUCUAUUGUCGAUAGAACGCCAAGCGACGUGUUGGAAAGCAGAAUGUCAUAAAGAAUUAGCGUCUCCACAAUGUGUUACGGACUUCUUUGACUGUGGUACAUUGCACCGUGACGAUCGGAACAUCUGGCAGAAUACAACCGUUGUCUUCAGCAAUUGCGAUCCUUCGAAUAAUAUCCAAUUCACAUUCGGGAUUUUCGCGGAUGCUCUCACCAAAAACGUGGUUUCCUCGCCUUUCUUGGAGAAAUACUUGUAUUGUUUGUGGUUUGGACUGCAGAAUCUAAGGUAUAUAUACAUUCAGCCAUUACUGUUCUUUGUCGCUUUACGGGGUUUUUCUUACACUGCUUUCUUGUCAAAGUUCUUAUGGACAGAAUCUGAGCACAAGUACCUCUGUUCUUGAGACAAUGUUUGCUAUCCUUGUGGCUAUCUUUGGUCUAGUUUUGUUUGCUCUUUUAAUCGGAAACAUGCAGGUAAAAACGUGAAAUCUCCGUUCUUGUUAUAGGUAACAAGAUAGAAUUAUUUUGUUGAUUUUGUUUUGGUUGAUGUAUUAUAGACGUAUUUGCAAUCGAUCACGGUGAGGCUUGAGGAGUGGAGACUUAAGAGAAGAGACACAGAAGAAUGGAUGGGACAUCGACUACUGCCGCAGAAUCUUAGAGAACGAGUGAGGCGUUUCGUGCAGUAUAAAUGGCUGGCGACUCGAGGUGUUGACGAAGAAACCAUUCUUCAUUCAUUACCCGCAGAUCUCCGUAGAGACAUCCAGCGCCAUCUCUGUCUCGAUCUUGUUCGUCGUGUAAGUCUAUUCACCACUCAGCUCAACACAUUCCAACUGGUUUAACGGUUUUUCAGUUUUUAUGCACACCCUUUGGUCUGACUCGUUGUUAUUGUACCGAUUUUUUCAGGUACCGCUAUUUGCACAAAUGGAUGAUCAGUUACUAGAUGCAAUAUGUGAACGGUUAGCAUCAUCUCUAAGCACACAAGGGAACUACAUUGUACGUGAAGGUGAUCCAGUGACGGAAAUGCUCUUCAUUAUCCGUGGAAAACUCGAAAGCUCGACGACUAAUGGAGGCAGAACCGGUUUCUUCAACUCAAUCACACUCAGACCAGGAGAUUUCUGUGGAGAAGAGCUUCUUGCAUGGGCAUUGCUUCCAAAAUCAACAGUAAACUUACCAUCCUCAACAAGAACGGUGCGAGCCUUAGAAGAAGUUGAAGCCUUUGCUUUACAAGCAGGUGAUCUCAAAUUUGUGGCUAACCAAUUCAGGCGUCUACAUAGCAAGAAGCUGCAACACACAUUCCGUUAUUACUCUCAUCAGUGGAGAACUUGGGCUGCUUGUUUUGUACAAGUCGCGUGGAGACGGUAUAAGAGAAAGAAGUUGGCUAAGAGUCUUAGCUUGGCUGAGUCAUUCUCAUCUUAUGAUGAAGAAGAAGCUGUGGCGGUUGCUGCAACUGAGGAGAUGAGUCAAGAAGGAGGAGCACAAAGCGGCGCUAAAGCUCGCCAUCAUACUUCUAAUGUGAAACCGCAUUUUGCUGCAACAAUACUUGCUUCGAGGUUUGCUAAGAACACAAGGAGGACAGCUCAUAAGCUCAAGGAUGUCGAAAUACCGAUGCUGCCUAAACCGGAUGAGCCGGAUUUCUCAGUGGAUGAUUGAUUGAUUUGAUUAACCGUUUUGAUAUAACUUUAUGUGAAUCUUUUUUUAAGUUAGAAAAUCAGUUUGUUAAAAUUCAAAAAAAACUUUGCUGCUUGAAGUAAUUCACAAAAAUGUUCAGCAGUUUGUAUAAAUAUACAGAAUAAUCAUCUGACUAUUUGUAUUCGGAGAUCAUUGGAUCAAACAAGAUCAUCAUCAAAGUAGAUCAUUAUUGAGAUUCACACAUCUUUGGCUCUGAAAAAUGCUUAAUGUUUCUUCUGUAGUUCUGCCGACACUUUCUCUCCACGUUUGGACACAGAUCCAUAUGAGUCCAAGUCCAGACAAAAACAUAUUUUUUAUUCUUUCUUGUUCUAGUUUUGUCGGAUCAGAAUCUGGUUUUCUUCUUUAGUUAUUAAUUUAGAGAUCAGAGAAUGCAAUAGGAAGAUAGAUGAGUAUGUAACAAUGUGAAGUUAAACCAGAAAACAAAACACAGAGGAAGAGCUUUAAAGACAAAAAAGCUGUUUCAUCAGACAUUAAGCAACAAGCUCCUGAAUUUUGUAGAUACUCUAUAUACUGGUAAAGUUAUAAAGUGUGGCUUAAACUCUAACCUACCAAAGAUUAAUCACAACGGAGAGAAGAAACCAACCAAAAUUAAAAUAAAAAAAUGCCUAAAAACUAUGGCUAACAGGAGAAGUAAACUCACCGAGUUAAGUAAACUCACCGUUCCAUGAUCGUCUAGCUACGGGUGACAAGCUCAGGUCAUGGAAUGUUGGUGCUUAAGUUGGUUGUGUUUUUAAGGAGUCAUCUGUUUUUCUCGUGCCCAUAUUCUUCUCAAGUUUGGUCGUCCCUCAUGAGAGGUAUCCUUCUCAAUCGAUAUACUACAAACUGGAAUUUACUCACGAGUUAAAGGAUUGCCACAUCCUUUAUAUACUACCCAAAGAUCUUAAUCCCAAGCAAUGUGGGACAUUCUAAUAGGCCUCCUCGAGAUGUGGGUGGGAAACGGUCCAACGGAAAACAGCCCAAGCCCAACAUCUCGGAAAUACAACAAGACAUGCCACUUAUAUGGGUCACAUAGGUGGAAAACCAUUUUUGUGGGAAUUUGCUUGUUGGGCCAACCUUGGGCUCUGAUACCAUAUUAGGAAUGUGGCCUAACUUAACCCAAAAGCUAGCUCAAGAGUUAAGGAUUGCCACAUCCUUUAUAUACUACCCAAAUCUUAAUCCCAAGCAAUGUGGGACAUUCUAAUAAUGUCUCAACCGAAACUUCAAAUUUUCACUAUAAGGUAUGUUUUUCAACUAACGAUCCAUACCCUUUGGAGAGAACGCAAUGGAAGACGACAUGGUGAAGGUCCUAUAUUCCGUGUGCUAAGCUCAUCCGACUUAUCAACAAAAAUAUAUGUAACCAUUUCAGCACCAUUCGUUCAUUAGGUAAUUCAGACUAUGAAGAAGGUCUUCGCUAUUGGUUUAGUACCCGUAGCCACUAGUGUUGGAUAAUUUCAUUACCUGAAAAGCAAAUUAUCUCUUUCUAGAAGAUGCUAAAAGAGAUAGGAAAAAAGGAAAUGUACAAAUAAUGGCAAGUAGGAUAAGUUUUGUAAGAUUUCCUUUUCAUAAUAGGAUUAGGAGAAGCUAAGAUCUAUUAUAAAUAAGAGCCUUAUGGAGAGAUAUUAAGAGAGUUUAGAGGCUUUGGAGAGUUGUUCUAUAAGACCUAGAGAGAGACCUUGAGAGAGAUUUAAUUUUGAGAAGUUUCUAAAUCAAUAAAGAAAGGUCGUUCUUUAAUUUAGUCUUUCAAGUUCUAGUUGAAUCGUUGAAUUACUUCUUGAAUCAUUCAGCGACUUCAUCAAAAUAAAGUGAUCUUGAUUUGAAGUAGACCACAUUCAUAAUUGUAAUCCUCUGUUUUUAGACCAUUCUCUUUUUGAAAACUCAACAAUAAAAGUUGCAUUUAUUGUAAAAAUGUUUUUUAAGAAUUAAUUUUACAUUCAUUCAAAAAAAAAAAAAAACUCCUAACUUCUUCAGACUAAUUAAAAUAAUUCAUUUUUAAUCUUAGUAAAUUAUGGUUCGAACUUAGGUCAUCUUCUUUGCCAUGGGCCGAACUCGCGCUGGCUUCGCUUUCUAAUGAUGAUGAAGAUAAAGAUGAAAGGAGUAAAUACACCCUCAAAUAAGCAGUCCAACUAAUUUAAAUAAAUUAACUUGUUCCAUGGAAGAUUUUGCAUUUUCUUUUUGUCCUUUGAUGUUGCUAAAGUUCAGUCACAUCUCUUAUCUGUAAAUUGGCUACACUGAUAAUUUGAUACACAGAAAAAUAAUCUAAAACUCAAAAUCCAGAUUCAAUACCUCUAGUUUCAACCAUUGAGUUCUGGUUUUUCGUUUUAAAUGUUAAAGAUGUAUAUAAAUUUGUUUAGAACAAAAUUAGAAUGGCCUUACAAAAACAAAAACUUUUUGUUGAAUUAGAAACGCAAUUACUCUCCUGCAAGUCAAAAAAAAAAAAAAUACAAGGUCAUUAAAUUCCUUUCCUUUCUCCUAAUUUUUAGUGUUUAUAAACACUGUUUAUGGAAUACCUUGUAUUUUCUUCUAAAAAAAGAAACGAAAUUUCUUUAUAUAGAAGAAUUAAAUGUUUCACUAAAUGCAUUCAUCAUUUCAUCUAAUUCAUAAGCAGAAAAAAAAAACCUAAAAAGAAAACAAAGAACAAUGGCUAGCAGUGUAAAUGGUGUCGUGUUUGUCGUCAGUUUAAUGAUUGUUUUAUUAAUUUCGACAGGUAAAUUUUAUUAUAAACAAUCAUUUCAUCUAAGCCACAACUAUUGUAUAAUUAUUUACAAAAUACUUUAGAAGUGUAGUAUAUAAAAAUUAGUAAUUACAAUUUCUUUCAUUUUAGGAUUAAUAAUUUUGCUGUAUAAUUUUCUUUUUAUAGUUUUCACAGAUUUUUCCUUUUUUUUUUUUUUUUUUAAUUUCUGUAUCUUUUAACAAAAUUUUCCUUUUUUAUAAUAUUAAUUUUAUUAUAUAUUAUAUUUUUUGUACAUGCCAAAAUUUUCAAUCAUUUUAUUAUCACGUGUUGCGAUCAUAUUAUUUAGCAACUUUGAAGGAUCAAACUUUAAAUAAUAAGAUUUGUUCAAAUAGUUCCAUAAGUUUUAGCAUUUUAAAUUAAAAAUAUUAUAUAAUUUUCAACGAUAAAUAUAAAUAAAAUUGAAAAUUUAAAUAUUUAUUUGACAUAUACAUUUACAUUUUGCAAAUAUAUAUCAUAAGAGCAUUGAAGUGUUUUGUUAAAAACAAAACAACUUUUCAAACAAGCCCUUUAAACAUGACAUCACAAAUCUAAAACCUAACUUCUUAAACUAUCCCGUCCAAGUCAUGUGAUUUUUUCUACAAUAAAUAAGUUUGUUUUGAUUAAGAUCUAAUCAAUAAAACUAAAUUAUACAUUUUAAUUAAAAUGAUUUAAAUACUUCUUACUUUAUCAGGAAUACAAAAUGGAUAUGCUCAAAGAGUUACAACUUAUUGUGAGAAAAUACGAAGCAGGUCAGCACCACAUGACAUUUGUAAGAAAAAAAAUGGCAAUGCGUUGUGCAAAGAGACGUGUUGGAUAAGAGAAACUUAUCAGAAUGGAAGAUGUCUAAUUCUUCCAAAGACGACAAAAUUAGAUUGCUACUGCUACCAUUUCGACGAUGGAUCCAAAUGCUGAGUCUAAAACCCAUAAGCCAUGCAAUCAAUUAAUAUUUAUAACUAUUAUGUGUCUUUUUUUUUUUUAAGAAAUAUUUUUGCGUUUUCAUAUAUACUUUUUUUUUUGGACAAACUAACUUGCUUUCAUUCAUUCAAACAUUUACAAAGAGAAGAAUUUCAAGAAACCCAAAGUUUAAAACAUUACAACAAAAAGCAUUCCCCAAUGCAAUAAAAAGAUAGAUAAGGUUCAUCGAUUUUAAAUUCAUGAAAGCUUUGAGACAAGGGCUUGGAAGCACAUUGAGACAUGUGAGAUCACGGUGAAUCGAGUGAUCAUCCUCGAGGGAUUCGAAUGACGACAGAUUGGUCAUGGUCAAAAGACGCUGUGACGUUGCUGAAUGAAUCAAUGUUACGUUUCUCAUCGGAGUGAGCUGCAGUACCCAUGGUAGCGCAAUAACAAGGAUUCGAGAGACUAUGGUUCUAUAGUCGGUUGAGGAUAGCUUUGAAACCCAAAGCAACAGGUUUAGAUCUCUCCGAUAAAUCGCGACAUGAACUUUGUAGCAUAGGAUCUGAAUGAUGGAGAUGGUGGUGAGGUUAAGAUGCUUGAAAACGACAUAUGAGCUGCUUGGUGAAAUUUGGACACUGAACCAAACUAGUCCAAUACCACAAUUCACACUCCGGCAAAAACGGUUCGAGAUAAUUAAAUCAUAGUUCUUCAAGCCUUUGUAAGCAUACCACAAGUCCCUAAAAACAACUAAUACCAGGAUUCGUAUAGAAUAUAUGCAAAGCCAAGGCAACAAUGGUGAUACCUCUCUCACAUAGAGUCCUCGACCAUGGAGUAGAGGAGAUCGACACAAAUAAUGACUUGGGCUUAACAUAAGAAUAAUGAAAACGGACCUGAGAAUAUUAGCCUUAAGAUUUUUAAACCAACUAAUAGGCUUGGGCCUUCUUGGUGGGAUUGGGCCAAAGUUGGAGAAUAGGUCCACUGGGGAAAACCCUAGUUUCACUUUGGAUUGCCACGACAGAAGAAGAAUGCGGCGGCUGUCCGAGACUUGCGAAGAGAUUUGCGGUGCAGGGAUCAUCUCCGAUGAGUGAAGAAUUGGCGGGAACAGACGCUGGCCGUGGUCCGAGUAUGAGGCAUAGCUCCAAGGAUUCAUAUCCUUUCCGGCAUGAUAAGUCAGAUCCCAGCAGAAUUGCUCGCCGUGCGCCGUCGACGUCUCCACCGGGCAUGGCGCAACUGACGAUCCAAAAGGGAGACCUCCUGUCAUCAACGAAGCCCGGUGUGAGGGUUCUUCAAGGUUGAGACGAUUAUCCGAGUAAAGUAAGACCAUAACGAGAGAUUUUUGCGGUAAAUCCUCGCUUAAAACCGGAGGUUUCAGGGCAAUUAGAUCCGCUAAGGGGGCUGCGAGGUAAAGGUAGAGAAAAGGAUUUGUCAGUUCCCUUAUCUUUCCUUCUUCGCUUAAUGAUGAAGAGCGGCCCGAAUGCAGUGCGAGGUGAUACAAAGCGUUUAAACGUGUUCGAGAUGGGUGAAACAGAGGAACAAAAGUGGGGAAAACCUUCAAAAGAGGAAAACUAAAGAAAGAAACUAAGAAAGAAAAAAUGUGACGCCGAGUGAAAAGGAAGAUGGGAUCCCGACACCGGCGAGCAAAAGCUACGCCGGCGCCGGAAAAGUUUCUUAAAGAAGAUGCUUCGAUAGUCGUGUCUGAGAGAAAACGUAUUAUGAGAGACUUUUUGCUUGACUUUUAUUGCGUUUUCUUAUAUACAUGUAAUAAAUUUAUAGUUGAUGAAAUAAUCGAAAAACAUAGGUCGUUCUUAUAAUUAGGACAUAAAGGCUUUGUGGUUUUUAACUUUUCUUUUGAGAAAUUAAUAUAUAACUUUGAUGAUUUAUAAAUCGGCGACCAAAAUCUGUUCAAUGUGAGGUGGACCUUACCAAUAUGUGGUGUCUUUGCGGCCUUGCCUAUAAAAUAAAUAUGUAGUUGUAUUGGGAACAAGAAUGUUUAGGGCUAUUUAUUUUCCAAAGACGGCUAAAAUUCCAGAAGGUUUCACUCUCUUGGUGAAGCUGUGGUGGCAAGGCGACGGUUUGGUGACGGUGGCGUCUUGUGGUUCAUAGAGAUGAUGAAGACAAGAUUAGGAGAAGCUUCCUUAUAAGUUGCUUCCGGGUGACCCUCGUCCGAGCCCUCUUUUUUGGUGAUAUUUUCAAAGUUUCUUGGCAAUUGCGGCGGUAGAUUUCGGCGGCAGUGGGUGUUUUAAUUGCCAGAGAUUCAUGACUAAGGCCGCUUGCCUUGAGGAAGUAGGCAGUUCUUGAAAGGAGCUCUCCAGUGGUGGCUAAAUGGCAACAAAUCAGUGACCUUUUUAGCCGCUACCAAAAAGCCGUGGCUAGACAAUGGCGGAUUGCUCUUUUCUUGUAGGCGAUGUUCCACGGCGACAAGGGCAACUCAUUUUUUGGGUUUCUCUCUGGCUCGGUUCUCUCCUCUACUCUAUAGUGUCUCGUUACUUUCUUGGUGUUUGCCUCGGUGGUUCGGUGGUUGCUGUCGGCGGAGAAGGUGUUAGGAGCGGUGAUGAGAGUUUCUGGAGCUUGAACCACCGGAGUCUCAUGAGCAAGUGGUUCUUAAAAAGAGAACUCCAGUGGCGGCUGAUCUAUAGUUUUCUGGUUUGCCUUUGGAUCCGCUCUAUAUCUUCUCAAAAGUAUUUUAACUUUUCCUAGGCGAUCUUUCCAGCGGUGAUGUGAAGGAGACAUUCGAUUUCAUCUCGCGGUGGUGACUUUCAUGUUUUGUUUCCAGUUCAUGUGUCUCUCGUGGCCGAAUCUUUGAACUCGGAGGCUGUGGCGAAGCCGUUCUUCGAUCUGGGGAUGGCACCAAAAAAAAUAUUUGAUAUUUUCAUUAUUAUUAUUUAAUAUAUAUACAUAUUUAUUUUUUAAGAUUUCUAUUUCAAUAUUUGUUUUGCUAUAUAAAUUAUUGUUUCUUUUGGAGUAAUGGUUUUCCAUUGAUAUUUUAAUUAAUAAUUUACGAAGGGUAUCCUUGUAAUCAACAAAUAUUGUGUUUAAACUUUGAUUGUUUGGGUUGGCAUUUUACAAAAUUCGGAAAAUAUACAGUCAAAUCGGGAUAUCAUUCUAUACGGAUGGAGAAGUCGGAGACCAACUUAAACUUUUUUGGCCCUAACAUCAACCCGUUAAAAGCAUAUUCUUGGCAAGUGUAGUGUCCACCUAAGAUACGCCAUUUCAUAUGGAAAAUCUUAACGGGAAGUGUACCGGUUACAGAAAAUUUGCGGAAAAGAGGAAUUGAUUGUGACACGGGAUGUGCCAGAUGUGGCGCAUCAGAGGAAAUGAUCAAUCAUACACUCUUUCAGUGCCACCCGACACGGUAGAUUUGAGCACUUUCACAGAUUCCUACUGCUAUGGGGAUUUUUCCCACAGAAUCUAAUUUUACGAAUUUGGAUCACUUAUUUUAGAGAAUACCUACGGAAUUUGAUUCAUCAGCCUUCACAUGGAUUAUUUGGUAUAUUUGGAAAGCAAGGAACGAAAAGAUCUUUGAAAACAUAGAUACAGACCCAGCAGAAGUAUUACGAUUAGCGGAAAAAGAGGCACAAUUGUGGCAGUCAGCUCAAAUUGAGCUCCAUAAUGAAAAUCAUGGUUCUGUGGACUUGGUAAAUCAAGAUCGAGUGAGGGAUAUUCCACUUGAAGCGGAGUAUUCGGGAUACCGUUGUUUUGUGGAUAGAUCAUGGAAAGAAAGUGAUACGUUUUCCGGUAUAGGCUGGUUCUGUACAUCGUCAAAUGGAGAGCCGCCAACCAUGGGAACUGCGAACCUCCGUAGAAGUCUAUCUCCACUACAUGCCGAUGUCGAGGCCCUUCUCUGGGCGAUGAAGUGUAUGAUUGGUGCAGAUAAUCAAGAGGUAGCGUUCUUUACAGACUGUUCAGACCUGGUGAAGAUGAUGUCUUCUCCAACCGAAUGGCCGGCGUUUUCAGUGUAUUUGGAGGAAUUUCAGAGCGACAAGGAGGAGUUUUCAUCUUUUUCUUUAUCUUUAAUUUCUCGUAGGGCUAAUAGUAAGGCGGAUAAUCUGGCACGAAAAGUUCGUACAGAACCGCUUCAUAUCACCUAUGUAAACAACAUUCCUCAAGAAUGACUUUUUUGAGUUCUAAUUAAUUGUGGAUGACAAAAAAUAAAUAAAUAUUGUGUUUAUCACAUUAAUUUUUUUUUCUUUGCUUCAUUUGGGGAAUAUUUUUUUCUGUUUCGCAUCCAAUAGAUUUAGCCAUUGGCGUUCAGGUACUUGUUUGAAUUCAGAUCAGAUAUUGUAGGUUCGGAUUGGGGUUAUCCAAAGUUUCUUAAAAUAAAAAUAAUUGUAUUAAAAUCGGUUGAAACUACUCGAAAAUUGUUUUAUGUUUCAAAAUUGAUCUCAUUGAUAUGAACUUAUGAUUAUCCUUAUUAAUCUGAUGCUUGGAAUGAUUACCCUUAAUCUGAUACUCCCAGAAUGAGAAAUGGGAGUCAGAAUUUGGCAGUUCCAUAGCAGCGAGUUCAAUCUGAUUUGCAGACUUUUGGAGUGUAAUUGAAUGGGUCUUAUUGUUUUCCAGUGAGUGUAAGAUAUGUUGGAAGGAAGCUUUAGUGUCUCUGUUUGUAUCUCUAUGUGGUUAAAUAGGCAAAUCAAUUACCUCCAAUAGGAACCUUAAUAUGCUAUUUUAGAUUUGACUUAACGUUGCACAUUCUUCAUCUCUAUGAUAUUAUCACUAACCAAAUAUGUACGGGAAUGCUAUGGAACUCUCUAGGUUUUUGGUGACAAGACUGUGGACAAGUAUGGUAAGAAUUUUAAUUAAACUAAUUUUACAGCUCGGACAUUAUAUGUAUUCUCAAAGUGAGUUUAAUUUCUCAUUAGCUUACAAGUGACCAAACUUGAUACUACUGUAAUUUUUUUACAUUUGUGUUCCUAAAACUGUUUUGUUGAUUGCUUUCCUAAAACAAAGUAAGUAAAAUGUCUCUGUUUCUUGUAUGUUAAAACAUAAAAGUGCUCAUCUAUAAAUGUGAAGUUCAACCAAAAUGGACCAACAACUGUCUUAUAGAGUUCAGCUUUUAUGAAGAUAUGAUAAUUUAUACUCUGUAAACUUCAAUUUUCCAAUGCAGAAAUCCGAAUCUUUUUUAUAUGUUGAGUGAAUGAUCAUUACAUGGUUUAUUUAUAUAAGUCACACUCCCAACUUUUGGAGGAAAUUUAGUUGAAUGUUAAUGAGGAUAGUCUAAGACCAUCUCUGAUGAUAUUUUUUUUUGAGAAUAUCUAUACAUAAAUUUAAUUAUAAAAUACUAAUAUUAUAUUGAAAGUUUUUUAAAAACAACAACAAACUCAAUAAAAAUGUGAAUAAGCCUCUCUCUUCUUCUCACACCUAUUUUUCAGAGAGAGAGGGCGAUUUCCGGUAUACCGGAAUUCAUAUUCCGGCGAUACCGUUUUUUGUUAUAAAUACUGUUUAUGAUUCUAACCGGAUUCUCUUUUCCGUUUGUCGGUUUGUUUUCUCCAGCUUUCCGGAUAAUAAUUUCCGACUUAGUUUUUACUAAGCUUUCGGAGCUGUUUCUUUCUACAAGAUCUCAUCGGAUCCCGCAUGCCAUCGUUUGAUCUCCCCGUCCCUCGUUGGCUUAAUUCCAAUCUCCAACCAAAAUAAUAUCUUCGCCGACUUCUCUGACGAGGACCUUGAUUAGGUCAUAGGUGGAGCUUCUGCUAGGGUUCUGGGUUAAGAUGAUGAAGAUCUAAAGAUUCUUCUUGCGGUUACCUCAAAAUUACGAAAGCGGUGGAAGUCAAUCUGAUUUGCAACGGCGAGCUUUGUAGAAGGAGUUUCGGUGGUUGAUUCGUGAAGCCAUCGGCGGAGUUUGCACCGGAUCGUGGAUUUCAGGCGGCACCGUUCGUGUAUCUCUCUCCUUCUCGCGUCUCAACACAUGUUGUACAUGCGUCACCUUUUUUUCUUAAUCUUAUCAAUUUAGGUUUGAUUAAGCAGAGUUAAUGCUAAUUAGGGUUGUAAACGUUGGAGUUUGGGCUUCGUUUGGACACCACUUGUAUAGCCCAUUGGGCUUUUAUCAAUACAACUGUUGGCCGACAAAAAAAAAAAACUCAAUAAAAAUGUUUUAACGCAGACACUUUAAUCAUGGUGUCUCAUAUAUUUUCCAAAAAAAUUAUCUAACAAUAUUAAUAUUUUAUAUUUUAAUUAUAUGUUAAGGCACUCACUUCAAUAUGUCUAAUGGAGAUGGUCUAAAGGCUUUGUUGUUGUAUCCUUUUAAAAGAAGAAUAAAAAACUCUGGUUUCCCAUAAACUCUGGGCAUUAUUAAGAAUUCAACAUAUUUAAAUACAUCAUUUAUUAAAAAAAAAAAAACGGCAUUACCGACCACUAAGGGUCGAGUUGGUUACAUCGGGCACCGUCCAAUUUUCUUCGUUUUGCUGUUUUGAAGAUGAGGAACCAAUCUCAAAACGACUUCUACUGAAGAGAGAACCAGGCCGUUCAGGCUGAUUCAUCUCUGUUUUCUCGCUUGUAAGCAUCAAAAUCACAGACGACAUUGCCGGUCUAUCCUCUGCAGAAUCUUGAACACACAAGAGUCCAAUUUGAAUGCAUCUUAGAACCUCAUGUGGUCGAAAUGUUGACGAUGAAUCAACGAUUACCGGAUCUACGAUCUCGAGCCCUUUUCCUUCCUUCCAGUGCCU
rnacentral:lncRNA from 1 species